rnacentral:rRNA from 1 species
GACGAACGCUGGCGGCGUGCUUAACACAUGCAAGUCGAACGGGAGUAUUGAAGAAGCUUGCUUUAGAGAUACUUUAGUGGCGGACGGGUGAGUAACGCGUGAGGAGCUGUCCGAUGCAGGGGGACAACAGUUGGAAACGACUGCUAAUACCCCAUAAGCCGAGAGGUAAAAGGAUUUAUCCGGCAUGGGAGGUACUCGCGUCCUAUCAGCUAGUAGGUGAGGUAACGGCUCACCUAGGCGAAGACGGGUAGCCGGCCUGAGAGGGCGAACGGCCACACUGGAACUGAGAUACGGUCCAGACUCCUACGGGAGGCAGCAGUGGGGAAUAUUGGGCAAGUGGGGGGAACCCUGACCCAGCGACGCCGCGUGGGUGAAGAAAUCCUUCGGGAUGUAAGCCCUGUUGUAUGGGAAGAGCGGAAGACGGUACCAUACGAGGAAGCCCCGGCAAACUACGUGCCAGCAGCCGCGGUAAACGUAGCGUG